CUUCAGCACUGUCCUCAGUUGGCCUGAGGCAGCCCUCCUGUCUGUCAGUCACUGCAGGCGGGCACACAGCUGCCCAGACCUCCAUUCUCGGAGGGGCGUCUGAGCGGCACUUCACAGAGGUGAAGAUGCUGACGCUUGGGUUAAAUGAGGCUUCCAAGCUCACACUUUGUAAGGAGAGCCGUGGCUUGAACUCACAUCGCACCAAGUAG
rnacentral:lncRNA from 1 species